rnacentral:rRNA from 1 species
AUUGAACGCUGGCGGCAGGCCUAACACACGCAAGUCGAACGGUAACAGGGAUCAGCUUGCUGAUUCGCUGACGAGUGGCGGACGGGUGAGUAAUGUCUGGGAAACUGCCUGAUGGAGGGGGAUAACUACUGGAAACGGUAGCUAAUACCGCAUAACGUCGCAAGACCAAAGAGGGGGACCUUCGGGCCUCUUGCCAUCGGAUGUGCCCAGAUGGGAUUAGCUAGUAGGUGGGGUAACGGCUCACCUAGGCGACGAUCCCUAGCUGGUCUGAGAGGAUGACCAGCCACACUGGAGCUGAGACACGGUCCAGACUCCUACGGGAGGCAGCAGUGGGGAAUAUUGCACAAUGGGCGCAAGCCUGAUGCAGCCAUGCCGCGUGUAUGAAGAAGGCCUUCGGGUUGUAAAGUACUUUCAGCGGGGAGGAAGGGAGUAAAGUUAAUACCUUUGCUCAUUGACGUUACCCGCAGAAGAAGCACCGGCUAACUCCGUG